AUCCAGCCAACGAGUCCCAAAUAGAACGAAACAUAUGUCCUAAAU
rnacentral:hammerhead_ribozyme from 1 species